AUGCGGUCGGCGGGGGGAGGCGGUGGCGAGGAUGCGGUCGGCGGGAGGGAGGCGGCGGCCGGUAGAAGCUGUUCCGACGAAUUGGGAGCUCCUCCUGCACGUCGAGAGCACCGUCCGGCACCACGCGCGCGCGCAUGCCGCGUCGGGGAGUGCGAGCAGCGUGGCGCUGCCGGUCGCGCCCGCCACCCACAUCCUGACGCGGCAGCGUGGUCGGCGGGGACCCGUUCGUGGCGUCGCGUUGCCGGGUCGCGCGAGUGCGGCGGCGAGGAUGUGGGAUGGCUGCAUCGGGCGGCCACGUAG
rnacentral:rRNA from 1 species